ACGUAGGGUGCAAGCGUUAAUCGGAAUUACUGGGCGUAAAGCGUGCGCAGGCGGUUUUGUAAGUCUGACGUGAAAUCCCCGGGCUCAACCUGGGAAUUGCGUUGGAGACUGCAAGGCUAGAAUCUGGCAGAGGGGGGUAGAAUUCCACGUGUAGCAGUGAAAUGCGUAGAGAUGUGGAGGAACACCGAUGGCGAAGGCAGCCCCCUGGGUCAAGAUUGACGCUCAUGCACGAAAGCGUGGGGAGCAAACAGG
rnacentral:rRNA from 1 species